UUAACGAAGUAUCAUAACACUCAAAUGAUCGAAAAAAGAAAAAUUUAUGACAUGAGAGCAAUACGAAAGUUAUGACACCUGUGGUGUCACUUACCCUUGAAAGAAGCGUGCAGUACCCUGGUGAGAACGAAACCUUGUACACGCGAGAGAAAGAGAGA